rnacentral:rRNA from 1 species
ACGGGUGAGUAACGCGUAGGAAUAUGCCUUAUAGACUGGGACAACUUGUGGAAACGCAAGCUAAUACCGGAUACAUUCUUCGGAAGAAAGGUUGGGACCAUAUGGCCAGCCGCUAUAAGAUUAGCCUGCGUCCGAUUAGCUUGUUGGUGGGGUAAAGGCCUACCAAGGCGACGAUCGGUAGCUGUUCUGAGAGGAAGGACAGCCACACUGGAACUGAGAGACGGUCCAGACUCCUACGGGAGGCAGCAGUGGGGAAUAUUGGACAAUGGGGGGAACCCUGAUCCAGCAAUGCCGCGUGUGUGAAGAAGGCCUGAGGGUUGUAAAGCACUUUCAGUGGGGAGGAUGUUGGUUGAUAUGAAUAGUAUUAAUUAAUGACGUUACCCACAAAAGCAGCACCGGCUAACUCCGUGCCAGCAGCCGCGGUAAUACGGAGGGUGCAAGCGUUAAUCGGAAUGACUGGGCGUAAAGGGUGCGUAGGUUGUUAUUUAAGUUAUCUGUGAAAGGCAAGGGCUCAACCUUUGGACUGCAGCUAAUACUGGAUGACUUGAGUAUGGGAGAGGGUAGUGGAAUUUCCGG